CCCUUAGACGUUCUGGGCCGCACGCGCGCUACACUGACCGGUGCAACAAGCAUCCGUCCUUGGCCGACAGGCCCGGGCAAUCUUUGAACGCCGGUCGUGAUGGGGAUAGACUUUUGCAAUUUUUGGUCUUCAACGAGGAAUUCCUAGUAAACGCAAGUCAUCAACUUGCAUUGAUUACGUCCCUGCCCUUUGUACACACCGCCCGUCGCACCUACCGAUUGAAUGGUCCGGUGAAGCCUCCGGAUUGGCGCGCACCUCGGUGCCGCCGAGAAGUUGGCUAAACCUUNCNAUUUAGNGGAAGGUGAANUCGUANCA
rnacentral:rRNA from 1 species